rnacentral:misc_RNA from 1 species
GUAGGUGAACCUGCGGAAGGAUCAUUCACAAUAAGUGUUUUAUGGCACUUUUUAAAAUCCAUACCCACCUUGUGUGCAAUGUCGGCCGAUCUUUCUUUUUUGGAAGAUCAGCCAAACAUCAACUUAUUUUUUUAACUCUUUGUCUGAAAAAUAUUAUGAAUAAACAAUUCAAAAUACAACUUUCAACAACGGAUCUCUUGGCUCUC